CACAGCGACUCCUCCCCUCCAUCACAGCAACACACACUCUCCUCAUUCAAGCUUGUCAGAAGUUGUCAGCCAUGCAGGCGACUCGCACCUGCCUCCUCCUCCUCUUCCUCUUCACCUGUAGAGAAACCCAAUCAGAAUUUGUCAUAAAAAACGUCACACUCUUCGUUCAUCCUGCAAAAGAAGUGGAACGAGGCACGAACCUGACACUAACCUGCAAUGCUCAAGUUAGCCAUACCGGCGGCCAUCUUCCCCAGUACACAUACAACUUCUACAAAGACUUCAAGCCCAAAGAAUUACACACGCAAAAGACGCACGCUGUGGAGCAGAUGAACUUCUCCAUCCCUGAUGCUCGAGCCUUUGACUCAGGAACGUACCAGUGCGAGUUGGUGAUCGAUCAACAAAAGGAGAACAGUCAAACUGCGGAUGUCAAAGUCAAAGGGCUGCAAGUGCCAGAGCUGAUUGUGGAUAAGCAGAGGGUGAGUGAGGGUGAGAGAGUGAGCGCCACCUGCAGGGCAGAGGAAGAAAAGGGUUCACUGCUGUUCUCCUUUAAAGAUGGCACUAAAGAAGUGUACAGACAAUCUUCAGAAAGUGGCCACGUGCAGACACUAUUGCAACUCCGCUACGCAAGGAUUGCAAGACUGUCCUGCUCGUACGUCAUUGAUCGAUUAGAGUCAAACGUCAGUAAUGUGGUCACUGUUGAAGUGCAAGAGCUGGACAUCAGGCCAAAUAUCACCUUCCAGCCAUCCACAGAGGUCAUUGAGGGGGACACUGUGCAGAUCUUCUGUCCCGUGGACUCAAAAUUCCAAAACUCAACAUUCUCACUCUGGCUGAUCAAAGGCAGGGAUAUCCUCAAACCUGACAUGAAAAACUCCCACUACAGUAAGGUGGUCCAGGCCGCGGACACUGGGGAAUACGAGUGCAGCACUAAAAUGAACAGUAUCACCAAAACUGAUGCUCAAAAUCUGACAGUCAAAGAGUUGUUUUCCAAGCCAGUUCUGACCAUAACACCAGUCGGAGUGUUCGAAGGGCAGCCGUUUAAUGUCAUCUGCAAAAGCUCCAACUUUGAAUCAAAGAGAAUCCGCCAGGAUGAAGUGAAAUAUUCCAUCUACAGGAACGAACACCUCGUCACUCCUGGAGCGUUUGACGGAGGGUACAGGGAUAUAGCCGGCACACACACUGAUGGGAAUUAUACGUGCAACGCUCAAACAAAAAACAUCAUUAAAUGGAGCCAGCUUCAGAUCUUCAAAGCUAAAACGCUGGUCUCCAGGCCAGUCAUUGAGGUGGUCGAUAAGGUGGUCCUGGGUCAUCCAUUUAAGAUUCACUGCCGCUCAGAGAAAGGGAGCUUUCCUAUCAACUACACAUUGAUCAGAAACCAUAAGCCGCUGAACCACUACCUGUCUCUGCACAAGGACGACCAGGCCGUCUUCUCUGCUGACAUUACCACCAAAGACGAAAUCCAUGCCUACAAAUGCAAGGCGUGGAACAGCCAGAACAGUCCUCCACUGAUGAGUGAAGCUCUGUCAGCUCCAGUUAUAGUUCCUGUAAAGAAGGUGUCUCUGCAAGUCCUCCCGAGGCCUGACCAAGUUAUAGAGGGCACUGAUGUUUUCCUCAUCUGCAACGCUGGCAAUGGAACUCCUCCAAUCAGCUUUAAUUGGUACCGGUUGGGCAGCAACAUGCCGCUGAAGUCCAAAACAGUUCAGGUCAAUAACUCUGCACAUAACCUCUCCGCAGUGAGCAGCGAAGACAGCGGCACGUAUUACUGUGAAGCCUUUAACAACGGCAGUGCGCAAUCACAGAGCGACAAAGUCACCUUCACAGUGAGAAUGGCCCAUUGGAAGAUUGGCGUAAUUGCUGCUGUUUGUCUGCUGUUUUUGGCGUUGUCUGUGGUGGUCCUGAUCAAGUACAGGUCUAAGAGAGGUAGAGAGACCUACAGCCCGCCUAGUGUGGCGCUAGCACCCCAUGCCUGACCUUCCUCUCAACAAAAAAAAAAACAAAAACCCUCUUUCAUCCUCUCUCUCUAUCGCAGGCGGAGUGGCACACUUCGGCUCCAGGAAGAAGAAUCUGACCAAUGAAACGCAAAUAAUAUCGCUGUUGGAACAAGUGACAGCAACUCCUGCACAAUUCUGAAUGCAGCGUGGAAGCCAGACGGUUCUGGACCGAAAAGCGGGGAAAAUACUUACAAUUGAACUCAGCUGAAACCUUAAUGAAAAUGAUUUCAGGACCUUUAAACAACAUCUAAAGAGAAAGAAAUUACAAGAAAUCAGUGUUACAGAUACAGACGAGGAGGAGCGUCUGCAUUGCAUUUUGGAUUGACAUGCUAUCAUUGAUGACCUUUUUUAUUCCUUAUUUUCCCAGCAUAUUUCUACACACUAUUUAUUUCCUUUGAUGCCUUCUCACUACCUACCUCUCCCACACUCGUUUUCACAGAUCACUUUAAAUGAUAAAUAUAUCAUUUAAAAUAACUGCACAAUAAUCGCCUAAACAGAUGGUAAAUAAACCAUCACAAAACACUACAUGCUGGAGAGAAUGUGUCGCUUAAAGGGGAAUUCCACUACUAUUUCCACAUUUCUGCAUAAUUCAGUGCUUGAGAUGUAAACAGAGUGAUUCAGAGUGGUUUGGUGUGAAAUGGUUCAGAUUUCUUUACAGUGGUGCUGAUAGGAAACAGGGGUUACCAUGAACACAACACUAAUAUAUACAUUUUAUUUGCUAUCUAAAACCACCAGUAAACCUACACAAGUCUUCUGAGUUUAAUAUGGAAUGUUGAUGAUGGGAAAAUAGUGGAA